UUAGAUCGUACCCACACUUACUUGGAUAACUGUGGUAAUUCUAGAGCUAAUACAUGCAAACAGAGCUCCGACCGGAGACGGAAGGAGCGCUUUUAUUAGAUCAAAACCGAUCGGUGGUGGAGCAAUCCAUCAUCGUACAAUUUGGUGAAUCUGAAUAACUUUAAGCUGAUCGCACGGUCUCGCACCGGCGACGCAUCUUUCAAAUGUCUGCCUUAUCAACUGUCGAUGGUAGGUUCUGCGCCUACCAUGGUUGUAACGGGUAACGGGGAAUCAGGGUUCGAUUCCGGAGAGGGAGCCUGAGAAACGGCUACCACAUCCAAGGAAGGCAGCAGGCGCGCAAAUUACCCACUCCCGGCACGGGGAGGUAGUGACGAAAAAUAACGAUACGGGACUCAUCCGAGGCCCCGUAAUCGGAAUGAGUACACUCUAAACCCUUUAACGAGGAUCAAUUGGAGGGCAAGUCUGGUGCCAGCAGCCGCGGUAAUUCCAGCUCCAAUAGCGUAUAUUAAAGUUGUUGCGGUUAAAAAGCUCGUAGUCGAAUCUGUGUCUCGCGCCGCCGGUUCAUCGUUCGCGGUGUUAACUGGCGUGCCGCGGGACGUCCUGCCGGUGGGCUUAGCUCGCGAGGGCGGCCCAAAUCAAUCCUGCCGCGGUGCUCUUCAUUGAGUGUCGAGGUGGGCCGGCACGUUUACUUUGAACAAAUUAGAGUGCUUAAAGCAGGCUAAAAUUUCGCCUGAAUACUGUGUGCAUGGAAUAAUGGAAUAGGACCUCGGUUCUAUUUUGUUGGUUUUCGGAACCCCGAGGUAAUGAUUAAUAGGAACGGAUGGGGGCAUUC
rnacentral:rRNA from 3 species